AGAGUUUGAUCCUGGCUCAGGAUGAACGCUGGCGGCGUGCUUAACACAUGCAAGUCGAACGAACCUUUGGGUUAGUGGCGGACGGGUGAGUAACGCGUGAGAAUCUGCCCUCAGGAGGGGGACAACAGUUGGAAACGACUGCUAAUACCCCAUAUGCCGCGAGGUGAAAUGAAUUUCGCCUGAGGAUGAGCUCGCGUCUGAUUAGCUAGUUGGUGUAGGUAAUGGCUCACCAAGGCAUCGAUCAGUAGCUGGUCUGAGAGGAUGAUCAGCCACACUGGGACUGAGACACGGCCCAGACUCCUACGGGAGGCAGCAGUGGGGAAUUUUCCGCAAUGGGCGAAAGCCUGACGGAGCAACGCCGCGUGAGGGAUGAAGGCCUCUGGGCUGUAAACCUCUUUUAUCAAGGAAGAAGAUCUGACGGUACUUGAUGAAUAAGCCACGGCUAAUUCCGUGCCAGCAGCCGCGGUAAUACGGGAGUGGCAAGCGUUAUCCGGAAUUAUUGGGCGUAAAGCGUCCGCAGGCGGCCCUUCAAGUCUGCUGUUAAAAAGUGGAGCUUAACUCCAUCAUGGCAGUGGAAACUGUUGGGCUUGAGUGUGGUAGGGGCAGAGGGAAUUCCCGGUGUAGCGGUGAAAUGCGUAGAUAUCGGGAAGAACACCAGUGGCGAAGGCGCUCUGCUGGGCCAUCACUGACGCUCAUGGACGAAAGCCAGGGGAGCGAAAGGGAUUAGAUACCCCUGUAGUCCUGGCCGUAAACGAUGAACACUAGGUGUCGGGGGAAUCGACCCCCUCGGUGUCGUAGCCAACGCGUUAAGUGUUCCGCCUGGGGAGUACGCACGCAAGUGUGAAACUCAAAGGAAUUGACGGGGGCCCGCACAAGCGGUGGAGUAUGUGGUUUAAUUCGAUGCAACGCGAAGAACCUUACCAGGGUUUGACAUCCUGCGAAUCUCUUGGAAACGAGAGAGUGCCUUCGGGAACGCAGUGACAGGUGGUGCAUGGCUGUCGUCAGCUCGUGUCGUGAGAUGUUGGGUUAAGUCCCGCAACGAGCGCAACCCACGUCUUUAGUUGCCAGCAUUUAGUUGGGCACUCUAGAGAGACCGCCGGUGAUAAACCGGAGGAAGGUGUGGAUGACGUCAAGUCAUCAUGCCCCUUACAUCCUGGGCUACACACGUACUACAAUGCUACGGACAAAGGGCAGCAAGUUCGCGAGGACAAGCAAAUCCCAUAAACCGUGGCUCAGUUCAGAUCGUAGGCUGCAACUCGCCUACGUGAAGGAGGAAUCGCUAGUAAUCGCAGGUCAGCAUACUGCGGUGAAUACGUUCCCGGGCCUUGUACACACCGCCCGUCACACCAUGGAAGUUGGCCACGCCCGAAGCCGUUACUCCAACCCUUGUGGAGGAGGACGUCGAAGGUGGGGCUGAUGACUGGGGUGAAGUCGUAACAAGGUAACC
rnacentral:rRNA from 1 species